rnacentral:rRNA from 1 species
UUGAACGCUGGCGGCAUGCUUUACACAUGCAAGUCGAACGGCAGCAUGGGUGCUUGCACCUGAUGGCGAGUGGCGAACGGGUGAGUAAUAUAUCGGAACGUAUCCAAUAAUGGGGGAUAACUAAUCGAAAGGUUGGCUAAUACCGCAUACGCCCUACGGGGGAAAGCUAGGGACCUUCGGGCCUGGCGUUAAUGGAGCGGCCGAUAUCUGAUUAGCUAGUUGGUGGGGUAAAGGCCCACCAAGGCGACGAUCAGUAGCUGGUCUGAGAGGACGACCAGCCACACUGGAACUGAGACACGGUCCAGACCCCUACGGGAGGCAGCAGUGGGGAAUUUUGGACAAUGGGCGCAAGCCUGAUCCAGCCAUUCCGCGUGAGUGAAGAAGGCCUUCGGGUUGUAAAGCUCUUUCGCAAGGGAAGAAAACUUAUCCUCUAACAUAGGAUGAGGUUGACGGUACCUUGAUAAGAAGCACCGGCUAACUACGUGCCAGCAGCCGCGGUAAUACGUAGGGUGCGAGCGUUAAUCGGAAUUACUGGGCGUAAAGCGUGCGCAGGCGGUUUUGUAAGUCAGAUGUGAAAUCCCCGAGCUCAACUUGGGAACUGCGUUUGAAACUACAAGACUAGAAUAUGUCAGAGGGGGGUAGAAUUCCACGUGUAGCAGUGAAAUGCGUAGAGAUGUGGAGGAAUACCAAUGGCGAAGGCAGCCCCCUGGGAUAAUAUUGACGCUCAUGCACGAAAGCGUGGGGAGCAAACAGGAUUAGAUACCCUGGUAGUCCACGCCCUAAACGAUGUCUACUAGUUGUUGGUGGAGUAAAAUCCAUGAGUAACGCAGCUAACGCGUGAAGUAGACC